rnacentral:rRNA from 1 species
UACAGAGGGUGCGAGCGUUAAUCGGAAUUACUGGGCGUAAAGCGCACGUAGGUGGCGACGUAAGUCGGGUGUGAAAGCCCCGGGCUCAACCUGGGAAUUGCAUUCGAGACUGCAUUGCUGGAGUACGGAAGAGGAAGGCGGAAUUCCCGGUGUAGCGGUGAAAUGCGUAGAUAUCGGGAGGAACAUCGGUGGCGAAAGCGCCUUGCUGGGUCUGCACUGACACUGAGGGACGAAAGCUAGGGGAGCGAAAGGG